rnacentral:rRNA from 1 species
UACCCUUGACAUCCCGAUCGCGGUUUCCAGAGAUGGAUUCCUUCAGUUAGGCUGGAUCGGUGACAGGUGCUGCAUGGCUGUCGUCAGCUCGUGUCGUGAGAUGUUGGGUUAAGUCCCGCAACGAGCGCAACCCUCAUCCUUAGUUGCCAUCACGUUUGGGUGGGCACUCUAAGGAAACUGCCGGUGGCAAGCCGGAGGAAGGUGGGGAUGACGUCAAGUCCUCAUGGCCCUUACGGGUAGGGCUACACACGUGCUACAAUGGCAGUGACAAUGGGUUAAUCCCAAAAAGCUGUCUCAGUUCAGAUUGUCCUCUGCAACUCGAGGGCAUGAAGGUGGAAUCGCUAGUAAUCGUGGAUCAGCAUGCCACGGUGAAUACGUUCCCGGGCCU